AUUUAAUCACUAUGUAUAUGUCUUACACUCCGAAUUUUCAAGUCUUGGUCUAAAUAACAUCUUUAUUUUCAUGGGAGAAAGUAGACUUAAUAUAGCUUAUGACAAUUAACUCAUGAUAUCAUCAAAUCACAAUACGCAAACAACAGAAAAAGAAAGAAUAAAAAAAAGUAGAAGUCGCUAGAGAGCAGGCAGCAGGCACCAAGAUCGACAUUAAAGUAUCUUGUCCUGAAGCAGUGAUGUAGUAAGGAUGCUUAAGAAGUACUACUCCAUUAUUUAGAUUCUCAAUUUCCUUAACUAAUUCAUGUCGUGGGACAACGACAACUAUGGCUCUAUCUCCUAUUAAUCUGGCUAUAAACAGCCUCAUUAGAUUGUUCAGUUUCCAUUCCAAACCAAACUUGAGAGUUAUCGAGAAUACCUUAUUAUGGCUUGCAUUCCAGUAUUACUGUUCAGUUCAAUUCUCAUAUUUUCAAUAUCUUUACCAGGAAAUGCACUGAGCUUGAAUUACUAUGAGAAAACAUGUCCUGACGUUGAGUUGAUCGUUACAAAUGCAGUCAAGAAUGCAAUGAUGAGAGACAAAACAGUGCCUGCAGCUCUUCUUCGGAUGCAUUUCCAUGACUGUUUCAUAAGGGGCUGUGAUGCUUCUGUGCUGUUAAAUUCAAAAGGCGGCAACAAAGCAGAGAAGGAUGGGCCACCUAAUGUUUCUUUGCAUGCCUUUUAUGUCAUUGACAAUGCUAAGAAAGAAGUGGAAGCUUCGUGCCCCGGCGUGGUGUCUUGCGCUGAUAUCUUAGCAUUAGCUGCAAGGGAUGCAGUUGUACUUUCUGGAGGACCAGCAUGGGAUGUCCCAAAAGGAAGAAAGGAUGGGAGAACAUCAAAGGCAAGUGAAACAAGACAACUGCCAGCUCCAACUUUUAACAUCUCUCAGUUGCAACAAAGCUUCUCCCAAAGAGGUUUAUCCAUGGAUGACCUAGUAGCUCUUUCAGGAGGGCAUACUCUAGGAUUUUCCCACUGUUCAUCCUUCCAAAAUAGAAUCCGAAAUUUCAAUGCCACUCAUGAUAUAGACCCCACCAUGAAUCCCUCAUUUGCAGCAAGCUUAAGGAGUGUUUGCCCAAAAAACAAUGGUAAGAACGCAGGUUCCCCCAUGGAUCCUUCUUCAACGACCUUCGAUAACACAUAUUUCAAGUUGAUCCUCCAAGGGAAAACCUUAUUCUCUUCAGACCAAGCUCUGCUCACAAGUACAGUGACUAAAGAUUUGGUUUCAAAGUUUGCUAGCUCAAAAGACACCUUCUCUAAGGCAUUUGUGAAAUCCAUGAUCAAAAUGAGUAGCAUCACAGGAGGCCAGGAGGUUAGAAAGGACUGUAGGGUGGUAAAUUAAGAAUCUCUUUGCUUAAUUCUAGUCAAUCUAAACUACGAGAGAUGGGUGAUCAUGACAUGAUUACUAUCCUUUAUUUGGAUAGGAAACAAGAAAUUUGUAUUGCUAAUAUCAUCUAUGGAUAAGUAUUUUGUAUUAGAUUGUAAUAAAACUGAAACAUAGCAAUACUCCUAUGGCAUGAACAGCUCAUGAAGACAAUAUAAUCAAGAAAAACAUCAAUGCAUAAGGAUGUCUUCCAUGUUGAAAUUAGUGGGAAAACCUCUAAUAAAUAAUAGAAAUGCCAACUGAGCAAGACAAUCUCUAAAAUUUCUUGAAAUGAAGUCAACUCUCUAAUAUCCAGUAAUCAGAUUGCCUUUUUUUUUUUUUUAUCUAAUUCUGAACUCCAUUAAAGUCAGGAAAAAGUUUUACAGUGACAAAUUUGUAAAUGGUGAAGUUAAAUAUGAUAUCUCAAUAUCAAAAAUUUCCAAAUGCUCAGCUUGAUGAGUUGGCUAUAGCUCAAAAAUAUUUAAUGUUUUAGUUUUUACCUAUAACUUGCUGGAAAAGGAGUAGGCAAAAAAGAAUAGCUCCUCACAUUCUAGCAUACAACAAAAAUUAUUUCCCUUUAUGGUCAAUUCAAUUGUUCUAGAAAACAAUGUUCACUUCCUUCUCAUUCAUCUCGUAUACAUGAUCUCUUGCAUCAGUGAGAGCACUCUGCCCAAAUUUCGUAAGGAAGUUAUUUGCAAGGUUUAAAGAGGUAAUUUUCACAUCUUCAUUAGCCUUAAGUGCUUGAGCAAUAGCAAAAGCCCCAUCAUCUCUUAUUUCAUUGAAUCCUAAGUCGAGCUCAUUUAGAACUUCAUUCACCACUUUCAAGCUACGAGCCAAGCAUCUUGCACCUUCAUCUCUAAGUCCAUUUCCUCGCAAGUCUAGAAUUGUUAUGGUAUUAUUAUAUUUCAGUGUAUCUGCAAUGUACUCAGCGCCUUUUGCUCCUAUCUGGCACCAACCAAGCUUUAAGGAUUUUAUGCUUCCAUGAAACUUAAGAACUUCAGAUAAUGCCUCGGCUCCAUCAGGUCCAAUAGGAUUAUAACCAACUUCCAAUGUUGAUAUGACAGAGUUGUCUUUCAAAACUUGAGCUAUCUCACUAAUCCCCUUGGCAUGGAUGUUAUUUCCACCCAAGUCUAUUAUUGCUAAACUCCGGUUCUGCUUUAGAGCUUCUGCAACUUUUUCGGCACCCUGAUCACCUAUGUCAUUCAUGUACAUAUUCAGCCAAAACAAGCUCUUGCUCUUCUUUACAUAUUCAGCAAUGUGAAAGGCUCCCUUUGCACUAAUAGAGUUGUUUCCAAGGUCUAGAUGGGUAAGUUUCACUUUACUGGCAGACAAACCCGACAUCAAGGCACGAACUCCUUCAUCUCCAAUAGAAUUUCCUUGCAAAUGAAGUUCCCUUAAUGACUUGUUUCCCUCAAGUCCCUUAGCCAAAGCAUUAGCCCCCAAAGCGCCACCAUAAUUGCCACUUAACAGUGAUAGAAUGUCAGCAAGACUUUCCAGAAAUAUCAUAAAGAAAGUGCACCAUUGGAAAUAUUGAUCUAAAGCUGUUGAAGAACCCAACCGGUUAAAUUCAAAAGCUUCUAUAGAUAAACUGGGCAUACUAUUAUAGCAACACCCGAAAAGAAAAACCUUAGAACAUCUACUCACUUGAGAUAUAUACUUCGUACAGUGGCAUUCUCCAAAAAUGCUCCAGCAAGACUUGUAAAUCCCUACUUCCAGUUCCAAAAAGAAAUCAUAUAACAGUAUCAAUUUAUCAACUUUGACUCUAGUUUAAUAUUGUAAACAGAGAGGCGCUUGCCAAUUUAGCUAUAAUCUUAAGAAAAUGUUGAGGUAUUUGCAUACAGAAUAAUCAAUCAUAUUGUUAUUAAGCUCAAUCACACGCAGAUUUGAAUUUUUCUUCAGCAAGUCUGCAAUUGCCUUUGCACCCUCAUCACCCAGGUCUGCGCUGUUCAGCUGGAGCUUUUCAAUACUGUUAUUAUCUACUAAUAUAUCACAUAGACUCUUAGCUCCUUCAUCUCCAAUAGGGUUUCCAGACAAGUUUAGAGUCUUUAAUACAAAGUUUGACUGAAGAACACGAUCAAAGGCUUUUAUUCCUUCAGCAGUUAUUCCAUUUGCAGCAAAACUCACUUCCUCUAGAGUCUGAUUGUAUGCUAAGCUUUCAGCAAGGAAAAAUAGUCCUUCAUCUCCAAAGUUACACCCUGACAUGUCAACAAUGCUGAAUGACCUAAUUUCUUUGGCAAAUUCAUUAAGCUUCUGCUUGGACUCUCUGUCUAUCUUUGCAGUGAGACCAGGAAAUAAAUUUGUGCCAGCAGCAAAGGACCAAUUCAUUCCUUUUGCAGGAGCAGGAGAUUUAUUUUCCACCAAUGUUGGCCCUUUUGAUUUUGGCAUCAAGAUUUUCUCCACCAAUUUCCACAAAACGAAUGUAAAGGCGACAAACGCGCCGGCCGGCACGACAAAGGAGGUAAUCUGCUGGACCGGAGCACUACGAAACGCACUCUCUCCCUGAGACUGCCUGUAAACUCUCCGGACACUGGACUGCCGCCGCGCACCACCGUCAGCCGCCCUCACAACCAGAGUGCUGAACCUGAAACAUGUUCGCCUACUAGGAAAGGACGAUGCAGUGUUGGGGAAGGACAAUAGCAAACCGUGAGCACGAUAGCACGAGGCAGAGAUGCCAAAGGCUUCGGAUUGUAGGCUAAGUGAAAUCUUAGGUUGAAAGCAUGGAGAAAGAGCGGAAGCGUGGCCCAUAGGUGUGAGUGAGUUUAGACGCGCAUAGGAAGUACAGGUUCUUAUCCUGCGCUAGAAAGAGAUGAUGAAGCGGCGGGUCUCCGCUAUGUUCUAAAAACCAGUAGCAGAGUUUUC
rnacentral:misc_RNA from 1 species